AUUGAACGCUGGCGGCAUGCCUUACACAUGCAAGUCGAACGGUAACAGGCCGCAAGGUGCUGACGAGUGGCGAACGGGUGAGUAAUGCAUCGGAACGUGCCCAGUCGUGGGGGAUAACUGCUCGAAAGAGCAGCUAAUACCGCAUACGACCUGAGGGUGAAAGCGGGGGACCGUAAGGCCUCGCGCGAUUGGAGCGGCCGAUGUCAGAUUAGCUAGUUGGUGGGGUAAAGGCCUACCAAGGCAACGAUCUGUAGUUGGUCUGAGAGGACGACCAGCCACACUGGGGGUGAGACACGGCCCAGACUCCUACGGGAGGCAGCAGUGGGGAAUUUUGGACAAUGGGCGCAAGCCUGAUCCAGCAAUGCCGCGUGCAGGAAGAAGGCCUUCGGGUUGUAAACUGCUUUUGUCAGGGAAGAAAUCUUCUGGGCUAAUACCCCGGGAGGAUGACGGUACCUGAAGAAUAAGCACCGGCUAACUACGUGCCAGCAGCCGCCGCGGUAA
rnacentral:rRNA from 1 species